UGCGAAUUGAGAUGGAGACAAGUCUCGUGUUUCUUUAUGUCACAUCAACUUUGUGUGUGGAAUUAAGAUUACAACGAGAAGGACUCCAAAACACACAGCGGAAUGGUUGACAACACUAUUGCAAUUAUGAGCCACCCUAUUCCAAACACCAACGACCCUUGUUCAGUUGGCCCACAAAUCAGACAUGUAUGUCUUCUGUUGUUCGUACUCCCACAACGUGGCCCCCCAAGGGAAAGUUCAUCAUCGCAUUUGUUUCUAUCAGAUGCAGAGACUGAUAACCCUCAACCCUGAAGCAAGCUUCAUAUGAUUGAUAACGACGGUCUUUAGUAGAGCAAUUUUC